rnacentral:lncRNA from 1 species
CCAGCCGGUAGGUCUCUAGACGUUACAAAGAACCCCGAACAACCCAAACUGUUAAUCUUCAAUACCCCUUUGUACUUACGAUCUUGUAUCCACUCACUGUCCUGUUAGAUUAACCCAAUAAAUUUCAUUCACUCCGCAUACUCAAUCCUAUAGACACCCUUUUAAUCCUUCAAUCACAGACGUAACUCGAUUUUACAAAACAGUCAAGAGUAUUCAAACCCACUUCAUUUAAAAAUUCCGAUUCACCAUUACAACACUGACUUCAGCAG